CGAACCAACGUGAGCUUAGCUGUCUCUAUCGUGCCCAUGGAAAUUAACCUUUAGGUGAAAAGGCCUAAAUAAAACUAAAAGACAAGAAGACCCUAUCGAGCUUCAUUGCUAAUCUAUUAUAAUACCUAACCCUCUUAAGCCCCCAUAGUAGACAAACCAUUUUGUUGGGGCAACAAAGGAACAUCCAAAGCUUCCUUACUAAAAUAAAUAUACUCAAACCACGACCCAGAUAACUGACCAAAGGACAAAGCUACCGUAGGGAUAACAGGUUAAUUUUUCUCGAGAGCCCACAUUAACAGAAAAGUUUGGCACCUCGAUGUUGG
rnacentral:rRNA from 1 species